rnacentral:snRNA from 1 species
GUGCUUGCUUCAGCAGCCCAUAUACUAAAAUUGAAAUGAUAUAGAGAAGACUAGCAUGGCCCCUGCGCAAGGAUGAAAUGGGAAGUUCACACACAUCUAU